GCGGCCCGGUAGUCCAGUGGUUAGCACGUCGGCUUCACAGUGCAGAGGUACCGGGUUCGAUUCCAGCUCCGGUCUCCCUGUGUGGAGUUUGCAUGUUCUCCCCGGGCUUGCGUGGGUUUUCUCCGGGUGCUCCGGUUUCCUCCCACAUUCCAAAAACAUGCAUGGCAGGCUGAUUGAACACUCUAAAUUGUCUCUAGGUGUGAGUGUGGGUGUGGAUGGUUGUUCGUCUCUGUGUGCCCUGUGAUUGGCUGGCAACUGAUUCAGUGUGUCCCCCGCCUACUGCCCGAAGACGGCUGGGAUAGGCUCCAGCACCCCCCGCGACCCUAGUGAGGAUCAAGUGGUUCGGAAAAUGGAUGGAUGGAUGGGUAUUGAGAAAGUAGUGAUAUGCCCGUCGUUGGAGUGUAAUGGCACCUUAAGUUAUUUUAUUGAAAUUUUAUUUUGUGUAUUUAUUUGUUGGGAAAAUGUUUUUGAUAGUUUGGUGGUAAUGUAUGUCAUUUAUUUCUAAUUCGCUUUUUCCUCACGAGGGUCAGGGGGCGCGGUGGGGCUGUCUUUGAGGAGAAGGCGGGAUUCAGCCAAUUGUAGAGCACAAAUAGACAAACAGCCAAUCGCACUCACAAUCACACCAAAGGACAAUUUAGAGUGUUCCAUUGACCUGCCAUGCAAAUUGGAAUGUGGGAGGAAACCAGAGUACCCGGAGAAAACCCACGCAGGCACGGGGAGAACAUGCACACUCCACACAGGAAGGCCGGAGACGGAAUUGAACCCUGGAUCUCUGCACUGUGAGGCGGACACAUGUUAACCAGUCGUCACCGCGCCACCCUAUUUUAGUAUUUGAAAAAUGACACUAUUGACAUGAUUUUGCCUUUAUAAAGCACCAAAAUUAUGGUGAAAUUAAAUCAAACAAUCAACCUAUGAUUGAAGUGUAGAAUUUCACUAUUCAUAAGAUAUUCCAAUGAAUAUUUCACUUUACAUGGAGAGGUUUGCAGUGAUAUUUGUGUGUCUGUAAAUAUAUAUCCAUGUAUAACAAAUCAUACUUAUAGUAGGUGUUUUCAAUUGACAGUUCUAGGCAUCAAAUCAUAAAAACUGUAAUUUUACAAAUACCCCUGGACCUCUUGUAAUAAACUUUGUUUACAUCAAAUGUAUAAUAUGUACCGUAUAUGAUAUACGCAGGCCAGUGGUUUCUCAGGUCAUGGUAACAGUAAACAAUAUUGGUGUUGUUGCGAAAAACACUUCAAUUAUUGUAAGCACUGCCCUAAACGAUCUAUCACAUGACCUGUAUUUUUUCAGCUUCUUCUUUAAACUAUUAAAAAAAGACAAGAAAAAGAAAAACGCCGAAACGUCCAUGACUACAAGAAUCUGAACGUUCAGUGCAUUUUAGCACGUUGUGUAAAUAUAUACACCAGAGGGCGCUACACUUCUAUAAAAGGCGUUCCCUUAAGACGUGCUGAUCAAACCGGUUUAUUGAAAGUUGACGUCGCAAUGCAGUCUGUCGUUGAUGCUGGAUAAUGACUCGCAAGUCAUUUGUGCGGUUUAGUGUAGAAAAUAGUGUGGGUGAGGUGGGGACGGGUGGGGGGUCGACUCAAUGUCCUUUAUUUCAAGGUGAGCUCUUGAAUUGCAGCCCCAGCAGGAGCAGACGACGUCAUGUGGGAGUGUCAUAUCACUCUCACACUUAUUGCCGGUUUUGCAGACGUAAACAGAACACAAAGGUGAACAGACAAGAGCUCAUCCGAGUCCGGAAUGAUGGAUUGUUGAGUCAUAGAUGUAAAACAAAACCUGGAAUGGUCUUAUACUUUCUUUAUACUUUUAAUUUUGACCCGCUUACAAGAUGAUGUGUGAAUGUUGAGACAUUUUUUUUUGUAGAGACAGUCAGUCACUUUACUUCUGGACUGAGAAAUAUAAUAUCUUACCGAGAAUAUGUUAGCCUAUUAGUCUAUUUUGUCUUCGAUUAUGUCUAAAUCCACUGAGAAAUCUCAAUGCUGUUGUGAAAACAUUUAGGAUUUUUUUUGUUCUUUGGGACACUGUAACACUUGUUUGAAUGUUUGACACUUGAUAUAUGUUUUUGUUAUACAUCUUCUUGAUCGUUUCUAGCAUUAUGCAGAAGAAGAAUGCUGAAGAACAAAAAUGUGAGGAUGAAAAUCUGAUGGAAAUUUACUACAUGUGAUCAUCUUACACUAAGAAAUGGUUCCUGGAACGAAACAAACAUACGGGACACCACUACUUCAGACUUUCAUGUACCGGCACUUACUUUACUGUUGGUUCCCUGUUAGACAUAGCGCCCAAGUGUUUAUAAAUCUUGUUAUGUGCUGCUACGUAUUUUAUGUAGUGCAUAUUUUGUGCUUAUUUAUCUGACUCACAUAUUAUUUGCAUCCAAAUGUAAGAUUUUGUGAUCACGGUACAGUCAUGUUGAAGCCAUUUUUGAUUAAUUUUUUACAGCUCCACUAAGGAUAGAAUUAUUGAGUGCAGAAUGUGUGUAUGUGUGUUUUAACGUUUUUUCCUUUUUUUGAUUAAAACAUUUUGACAAAACAACUGUAAGGAUAGUGUUUCUAUACCAAUUAAAAAUAAAAGAAAGAAAUGUAGUUUACUAAUACGUUUGACAACCGGCCUCCAUUGUGAUAGUUGUCCCUAUAAUGCGGGGGUGUUCAAAGUCGGCCCUCAAGGGCCGCUGUCUUGCCAGUUUUCCAUCUCUCCCAGCUGCAACACAACUGAUUCAAAUAAUCUGGAUUGUUCUAAUGUUGCUUCACAGCUGCCUUAUUAGCUGAUCAUUUGCAUCUGCUGUUUUUUGCCUAUUUUUAAGUUUUUGCUCUGGUAAGUUUUCAGUAUUGCUAUCAAUGUAUUUUACGUGCAUGUAUCAAAGUAAAAAUGUUGGUAACGUGACAACACAUUUCACACAAUGCAUGCACCAAAUGCAUGGAUCAGCACACUACUUUGCUUGAUGAUGAAGCACUGCUUCCAUGAGCGAAAUACACAAUACAUAGAAUAGAACAAUAUUUUUAUGGGCACUUGAACUUUUGAAAGUAAAAUUCAGCUUUUCCCCCGUUAAUCAAGUGCCACCUUCAUGAUAAAUGGCCGCAUCAGCGGAAGAACAGUAAAGCCAGGAUUUAGUUUCUCGUCUCUUUCAGUCAAAACUCAGAGAAGCGGAACAUUACGAGCUGUCGCUCAUUUGCAUUAGACCUCUAAAAACACUUGCUGCUUGAAAAAGCCUGUAAAAAGAGGUUGAAAUGUGUGCUGGGUAAUUUAGACUGAAGCACAUCAUAAAUAUAUUAUUAAGACAGCAGGGAACAUUUUAAUGUGUGAAAAAAUUGCAAUUUGCAACUCCUUUAAGGUUAGCAUUUAUGAAAAUGUUGAUUAUAUCUUGCUAGAAGCAGUUUUGUUUUUAUACAAUUGCAAUUUUUUUUGGGGGGGGGUGAUGGUGUGGUUUAUUAGAGCAGGAUGCAAAUUUUGAGGUGUAGUACCAGUCAUCAUUAUGUAACCUGCCUUCGUACUAAACUGUCUGUGAUGCCAGUUUUUCACAGGGAGCGUGGUGGAGGGGUGGGGAGGGGGGCACGCUUUACACACAAAUCAGUGGAGCUUGCUGUGAUGGCCAGCAGAUCAGCCCACAUUGCUUCUUUCUCUGAGCUGUAGCCCAGGUUUAAAAUAGCUCAUUUUCCCUCUCAGGUCUUCACCAUGAUAUUUGGGAUGGUGUUAUAUAAUCACCUCUUACUGUUACCCUCUUACUCUUUGUCACUGAUGCUUCAAUCGCAUAUUCCAAACUAUCUUACUGUAGUUCAGUCUCUUUUGUUAUUAGACUCUAGAUGUAAUUGUAGUAAUUGUCCUGGCCAGUUUGGCAAAAAACCAAGUAAAGCACCAGUUCUGUUUAUCGGUCAUAAAUAUUUAUCGCCUUUACUAUCUGUUAAUCAAUUUGUCUUUUGUCAUGAUAACUCAACAUAGUACAAUGAAUGUUGUUCAUCCAACCUUAAUUGUUUUUAUUUUUGCUAAUUUCGACGGGUGUGUAAGUGGCACAAGUAGAUGCUGAUUAAUAUUCAUUAGAAAUGGUGAUGUAAAAAAAAUUUUUUUAAGUACCCACGCAACAGUAUUUAUCAAAAAAAAGAGAUGCAACCUUGGAUUGUGUUUGUGUGUGUGUUUCUUUGUGUGUUCGAUUCUGCAGAUAUUCAGAAACUCACACGCGACACAGUCAAGCCACUAUCACCCACGUAGAAAACGUUCACAGAUAAAAAAAUAAAAUAAAAUAAAAAAAACCUUGCAACCACCCACACACUCAUACACACACCCACGAUGCGUACACAACAAUAUGAAGAAAAGUGGUGACGAACGAAAUAAGAGAAAAGCAGGGAAAAAUACUGACGGGCUUUCAUAUUUGCACUCGUUACAUAAAUGGGAGUGAUAAUUCCAAGCAUUAAAUGGCAAAUAGUGAAUCGCUGCAUUGGGAUUUUUUUUUUCAUGGUCACUGCAGAUAAAGAAGAGCAACAACGUGAAGGGCUGUGUUGAGAUACAAUUACAGACUGUAACAGUGAUGUAGCAUUGAACCAGACAACUGUAAUUUUUUUAGCAUGCUUUCAUUGUAUAAUUUGUUCCUUCGGAGUCAUUUUUCAUUAGGAGGACACAGGUGGAAGGGGAACCCACUUGCAAAUUGUUGAUUUAAAUACUCUCACACACACACACACACACACACACACACACACACACACACACACACACACACACACACACACACACACACACACACACACACACACACACACACACACACACACACGAAUAAAAAAAUAAAUGAGAA